GGCGACCGGCGCACGGGUGCGUAACGCGUAUGCAACCUACCUUUUACUGGGGUAUAGCCCGAAGAAAUUCGGAUUAAUCCCCCAUAGCACUGAGCAUUCGCAUGAAUAAUCAGUUAAAGUUUCGGCGGUAAAAGAUGGGCAUGCGUCCUAUUAGCUAGAUGGUAAGGUAACGGCUUACCAUGGCUACGAUAGGUAGGGGGCCUGAGAGGGUGGUCCCCCACACUGGUACUGAGACACGGACCAGACUCCUACGGGAGGCAGCAGUGAGGAGUAUUGGUCAAUGGGCGCAAGCCUGAACCAGCCAUGCCGCGUGCAGGAAGAAUGUCCUAUGGAUUGUAAACUGCUUUUAUUUGGGAAUAAACCCCCCGACGUGUCGGGGUCUGAAGGUACCAAAUGAAUAAGCACCGGCUAACUCCGUGCCAGCAGCCGCGGUAAUACGGAGGGUGCAAGCGUUAUCCGGAAUCAUUGGGUUUAAAGGGUCCGCAGGCGGGCAUAUAAGUCAGUGGUGAAAGCCUACAGCUCAACUGUAGAACUGCCAUUGAUACUGUAAGUCUUGAAUUCGGUCGAAGUGGGCGGAAUGUGUAGUGUAGCGGUGAAAUGCAUAGAUAUUACACAGAACACCGAUAGCGAAGGCAGCUCACUAGGCCUGGAUUGACGCUCAGGGACGAAAGCGUGGGGAUCAAACAGGAUUAGAUACCCUGGUAGUCCACGCUGUAAACGAUGAUUACUCGUUUUCGGCGAUAUACAGUCGGAGACUAAGCGAAAGUGAUAAGUAAUCCACCUGGGGAGUACGAUCGCAAGGUUGAAACUCAAAGGAAUUGACGGGGGCC
rnacentral:rRNA from 1 species